UUAACUUUUCUGUCUCUCUCUCUCUAUCUCUUUUCCCUCUCUCUCUAUCUUCUCUCUCUCUCUCUCUCUCUCUCUCUCUUUCUCUCUUUUUCCCUCUCUCUCUCUCUACAGGAGUUCAGGAGGCUGUCAUUUCCAGGUUAUCUUCUGAAUGCGGAGAAACAGAACUUCCACUACGUCUCCCUCAGCCGGCAGCACUCCCACAGACUAGAAGCUGCCCGGCAACUCCACCACAACUUGGCCAAUUCUCAGGGGGCGGGGCCUCUCACCCAGAGACCAAAUCAGACCCAUGAGGCUGACGGUAGCUCCAGGGCAACGGCCAAUCAUUUGCCACCUUCAAAAGGGCGGGAGGGAGAGGUGGAGCCUGAAAAGACGAGUCCACGGGCUGAGGUUCAAUGUGGCGUUGAAAGUCAGACGCAGCCACAUCAGGAGGCGGCGCUGGAGGCGGAGCAGGAUGAGGCCCCAGAGGAGGAGGAGGCGGGGCCUGUUGUCACUGACUCGGUGAGCGACAGCCUUUCUGAGCAUUCGGACCUGGGCCGGGUGAGACCGGCCAACCCAGACGAUGGGCGUUCUCAGAGCACCAAUCAGCAGCCCUCCGGCAGUGCUGACCACGCCCCUGAACCUGCCUCCCCACCCAAAACACCCUCCUCUGUCAGCCUGGCUGAGUCUGUGCAGUCGGCCACACACAGCAGUGGGAAACUGAGGCCCAGUCGGGUUCAGAGUGUGGUCUCCAGCCAAGGGAGUAUGGACUCGGACAUGCUCGGUUAUGAUGGUGGAAGCAGUGAUUCUGAAUGUGACGGGCCCACCAUGGAUGAACAGGAAGCUCCGAGUCCACUCAUGCCAGACUUCUGGCUCAUCAUUCGAAUCGACCAUGACAGAGUGGAGGUGUUCUCGCAUUCCAGGAGUUUUAUUGGUGGAAAGGAAGACAGGGUAGGAGAAGAGGACGAGGAGGAAAUCCCAGAGUACCUUCGUCUUCAUCAUCUCAUUGUGAGGAAGAUUGGGGAAAUCUGUCGAAUCGUCAAUCAGGUAAAUGUUU
ensembl:lncRNA